AUACAAGAGAUGUUAUUGUUAUAAAGCUUUUCCUAUCUUUUUCAGGCAGAAUCAUAAUUCUCUACCAGCUGCUUAUUUUAGAGUCAUCUGGGUCUGGGGAUGGUUCUGGACAAAAAUACAAAUUUGGAGACCCUUCAGUCGUUUGUAGGAUCAGUGAGAUCAUGAAAACUAGAAGUAAUUUCAACGCGACUUUUUUUAUUUACUUUGGAAAUGGUUCAGUUGGACACAUGAGUGAUAAGAUGAGAGGUGGACAUUUCAAGUUCAAUUGUGUUUGAUGACUCAUUAGGUUAAAGAAGCUGUCAGGUGGUAAAGUCACCCCAGAGAAAUGAAGGGUAUUCUCCAGGAAGUGUGGAAACCCUGCCACUGCAGGCUAAUCAGGUGUGUUGACACAUCAGUGAGGAGCUGGCUCACAACACCUGGAGAAGCAAGCCACGGAGGUGGAGCAGAAUCAAAUGAGCCUCCCACAAGGCACGAAGAUUCUCAGCAAGUCAGGACGUGUUACACAUGGAAAUUCCUACUCACCCAAAACAGAUGCCUAUUGCUGUGUCUCUCACUUCCCAUACUUUCACAUUGUCUUGAAAUAUAAGCAAGAUGUGAAAGCCUACAGUGCUAUGGUAGGAGCCAUCUGCAGUGCCAUGGUCACCUGUGUCAGUGGUGGAACAAAGAGGGAAAGAUGGCUUCCACAUCCAGUGGUGACUUGAGUGGAAAAAGAAAAAAAAGAGCUCCUACGCCUGCUGGCAGAUGCUACUGAUGGGACUAUGAGCAGUUAGAGGAGGUUUCACAUUUACUCACAACUUGGAAUUUCUAAGCAAAUUUUCACAAUGCAAGGCAGCUGUACAUUCUGUGUACCUAACACUUUGUGUUUUCUCUUCUUGCUUGAUCAUUCAGGAAGCAGGUGGUCCAUUCUUUUGGCUCUAAAUAUUUUGCAUGUGAAGGGCAUAGGUAGGUGCACCACUUUGGAGAUUGUUAGCUGUGUCUGGUUCCGGGUGUCAGUUAGGCACAAAUUAGUAAGGCUGGAGGGGUUAAGAGUUGCAGAGAAGUCUGACAUGAUGGAUAAGUUAAGGAAGAGUCCUAAGAGGCCAGAAGUGAUAGAGCCCUAAAAACCAGAAUGGGCUGGUCAUGGCAUGGCAGAAGCUGACUUAUUUUUAUCUCAUACAGAAUGGGUGUCUACUAGUUCAGUCUGUGCUUAUUUAUUAACAAAAUUAUUCACAGCAAUUCUCAGAGUCCUUCAUCAAAUUCAGUCUGCUCUUGAAUAUUCAGAAGACAUUCUUUCUGAAUAGUGCACAAUAACUUUCAUUCUUUUUUUUCCGAGAGGCUCCAAUGUGUCCACGCUUCUUUUUUUCCCCUUAUUUUAGCUUAAUAUAGGGUUUUCUCAGAUUUUUUUCCUAUAAUAGUUUACUAUUUUCCUAAAUCUUUCCAUUUUGUCACCAAAUUCAACUAUUUCUCACCUCAUUCAUCUUACAGGUUGUUAAUAAAUAUACCAGAGAAUAAUUGUCCUGCUAUUGAUGGAUCCCAAGGGAGAAUUCCUAUUAAUCACUUCAAUCUUAGGGCAAUGCAGAGCCAAUGAAGGACUUGAGCAGAGCAGAGACCAAUGAGUACUGAAUUUUGGAGAGAGCAUCCAGGCCACUGGGUAAAGUGUGCAUUGGGAAGAAGAGCUAAAGGAAGCAAGGAGACUAGCAAGAGAGUUCAGGAGCACAAAGGAAAGGCCAUGCAAGGACACAGGGAGAAGACAGCCCCCUACCAGUCAGGAAGGGAGCCCUCACCAGAAACUGAGCUGGCCAGCACAGUGGUCUUGGACUUGUAGCUCCAGAACUGUGAGGAAAUAAAUUUCUGUUG